CUGACCUCUGAUCAUGUGUGUGGCUCUCCUCUGCACUCUCUCAAGCUUCCCCACAUCCUUUUUUAAUUGUGGAGCCCCAAACUGGAUGCAGUACUCCAGCUGUAGCCUCACCAAGGCCAAGUACUACAGGAGAAUGAUGUCCUUGGAUUUGCUUGAGAAGCAUCUAUGGAUGCAAGCCAGUGUUUUGCUCGCUUUACUAGCCACAGCAUCACAUUGAUGAUCAUGACCCCCAAGUCCCUUUCAUCCAUGGUGCUAGCAUUCAGACCUCACAUACAAGGCAAUACCAACCCAGAAGCACCAGGCAGGCAUGAAUUUGUUGCAGUUUCGUUAUUGCUGAGCGUGGGUGGUGAGGUGCCUCGUUCUCAGUAGCUACGACCAGACCGACACAGUUGGCUGCGUUCGUCUGAAGCCAAGGAGAGGGCAGGGUGGCCUUGUGCGCGCGGGGCCGGUUGCAGCGGCGUGCGCCCCUGACCCUCUGAAAGUGCCGGCAGAGGCCACUGGAAGCACCGAGCUGCCCGGACACCGCCGCACUGCGAUUCAGGCCAACAAGACUCAGAGACAGAUCGACAAUGAGCGACAGAGCCCCGGGGGCCGGGCCAGGCCGGCCGCGCUGCGCUAUGGGAGGUCGUGGGGCGCGGCCGCCCCGCCUAGCCUGCUUGGCCCCGCCCCACGCCGGGUCGACGGGCCUUACCCCUACGCCCAAUUGGCGGGUGCGGCUACCGGACCGGUGAAGUGAAUGGUCACUGGCCACCGCCGUGGUACGCGUGCGCAGUGCCAGCAGGGCACGCUGGGAGCUGUAGUUCCGGCCCCAUCCUGCCUUAGCUGCCGCAGACUGCGCAUGCGCCCGACCAUCCCGACUUUGGAAAGUCAGGUUGGAGUCGGCCCGGCUGCCAUCUUGGCCGUGGGACCGAGGUGCAGUUGCCGUCGCCCCGCCAGGCUGAAAGGAAAACCGUUUUGACGAAUGUAAACAAGCAGACAAAAUGCUAUAAGUGAACGACACUAGACUUUAACUGCUGCUGACUUGAUCUACCUGAAAAAAGACUUAGAAAACUAGUAAUAAAGGUUUUUCUGUAACACCUGUUCUGCA
rnacentral:lncRNA from 1 species